GAAAAGUGAAGGUGAAGGAGUGAGAGGUAGAGAUGAUGGAAUGCUCAAUGGGCGUUGAUGCGAAAUUUGCAUCGUUGUUUGAGAAUUUGAAGGUAGAGGAUCCAUGGGUUCCCCCAAACACAUGGGAAUCGAUACCUUGUGAAAGUGGAGUACACCCUUCGUUUCCCUCGUGUUCAAAAUCUAAUCAACCCCUCUCCGUUCUCUCUGAAUCAAGUUUGGUGAGGUUAGUCAUGAAUGCUAUGCAAGGUGUAAAAUCAUCCCUUAUUAGUAUUCAGAAGCUGUCUUCCAUCUUUUGUUAUGAUCCAGCUGACAGGACCUCUCACCAGAUUCCAAAUCUGUGGAAUCGAGCUUCGAGCACUCAUUCUUUGGGAAAUAUACUCAAAUCUAUGGGUUGCACCGGGUCUCUAGUUUUCCUUCUCCGUGAAUUUGUAGAUUAUUUCACAAAUAUGAAUGUGGACAACAGUUUUGCAAAGAGUCAUGGUAAUUCUGACGCUGACAAAAGUCAAAUUCAUCAAGAGGAUAGAGUGAGGGAGGAAGAGUCCCCUCGCUAUAGUCUUGUUAAUCAAGCCUUUGCUGUUGCGGUGGGAAAGAUCUUGGAAGGGUACAUGUGUGGAUUGGACACAAUUCAUGCAUCUGUAGUUUUAAGGCGUUCAUCAAAAGAUGCUAAUUUGCCCGUGUCCGGAUGUUUGAAUAAUGUAGUGCAUUCUGAAAUUACACUGCUUGAGUUUUACCUGCAUACAAAAGAACUAAGGACUCAGAUUGAAGCCCUUGCAAGCAUAUGUAACCUACAAAAGUGGGCUCUUUACUUUUCAGAUACUUUUUUUGAGGAUCUGAUUACUGAAGCUACUAAUGAAUUUUGUAACUUCUGCAGAGGGGGGGAAUUAUUAACUUUUUUGUAUGCACAAUUACAGGUUGCUGAUCCUGCUCAGUGUACUCUGCUCAAGUUUCUCUUUCUUCAAUCAUUUGAACCAUAUUGCGGGUUCAUUAGAUCGUGGAUUUUCAAAGCAGAAAUCCAUGACCCAUAUAUGGAGUUUAUUGUAGAAAAUCUGGAGUGUUUACCUCCAAAGUCACAUGGUAAAGCUGGCAAUUCUGUUGAUUUCCCAUUGGCAAGGAUCAGGCAGGUGCGAGAUGGAGUACCAGUUCCUGAAUUUCUCAAACACUUCUUGGUUCCACUUGUUAGAGCUGGUCAGCAGCUUCAAGUACUGCUGAAAUUGCUUGAACUGUGCAUUCAUGUUGAUGUUGGAGAACAUAAUUCUAAUGACUUUCUACCUUGCUGGAGUGGUUUUUCAAGCAAUAGUCCUUAUUCUUCUCCAUUGACUUUCAGCAAAGAUAUUAUAGAAGCUAUGGUGCUUGCAAGAGAAAUUUACUAUACAAGGAUGAAUGAAAAAAUUGAAAGCCUUUUGAGCAGCUUAGAAGUUAGAUAUCAGCAGGUAGCUAUGCAUGCCUCAGUUCCUUCUUUUGAUAAUGGAGGGACUUUAGACAAACUUGGUCAGCUUAUAUCGGAAGACGUAUCCAUUGUUCAUCCAACGGCAGAUAAUAGAAGUUCGAAUAUGGGUAUUGAUAAUUUGGGCUCGGAUGUCUCAAGUGCGGUAGAUGAGUUCUCCUUGCUGGAAGAUAUGUAUGAUUCAUCUGAAACUUUGUCCUUAAACAGCUCUGACGAACAACUGGAGUCUGAUCAGCUUAGUGGCUGGCCUUGUCCAAUAGUUGGGCAACAAAAUCAUUUAUCUGCUUUAAGCUUCUUGAAGAGUACUACUUUAAAUAGUUCAAUACAAAGUUCCUGUCAUAAUGAAAAGCCAGGUGGUGAUUCACAUGGAAUCUGUGAUAAAAUGGAUGCAAUCAGUCAUUUGGUGAAGUUCUCCCAUGAGGGAAUGAUAUCAAGUCACAUGUCUAAUCCUCUAAAUUCAGGGAAUUCAAGCUGCUCGUGUAUAUUCAGUAUUCAAAAUAGAGAGAGUUUGGUUGACAGUUAUUCAGCAAUUAGCCAGUUAUUGAAAAAAUCAUUUGAUGGUGAUGGAACUAUUAAGCAAAAUGCAACUGAAAAGCACCUGGGAUCCCUGAGAAAUUCCAUGUUAUGCCAUGAUGUUAUUGCUGUUAGUGAUAUUUUAAGUGGGGAAGCCACGAAUGAGGAUCAACCUGGUAGUAAUGCUCUUGUUUCAAAUUUUUAUGCUUCUCAACCACAAAAAAUUGGCCAUCGGUGUAAUUUUCCCAGCAUCAAUCCCCUUAGUAUGAACCCAAUGUUGACAAGAAAUGCGUUGCUUCACGUGAUGGGUAGGAAUGGGGAAAAAUGUAAAGCAGAUCAUGAACAAACUUUGCCUUACUUCAACUUUUCUUCUGUAGAGGACCCUUGUAAGGUUUAUAUUGACAAGUUAUCCACCAACUUCAGAUGUAGACCCACAUCUUCAUUUCCACUGGAUUGUAGUGUGUCUACUUAUGGUAAUAAGAAUGAUGAAUAUGGAGAAAUAGGCCAUGCUAGAGAUGAUCGAUUGGUUGAUGUUCCCCAAUAUUGUUUUGAUGCUUCUCUGGACUUGAUGGACCGUAAACAAGAUAUUUUAACAGUUGUAUCUGGUGGGAGCAGCUGGGAAAGAUUGCUGGGUAGUUUUAGGAAAACUGUCAAUUGUGAUGCUACUCAAAAGCAGAGUUUGUUGUCAACAUUUGAGAUACCACUUGAAAUUAUAAUUGACAAGUGCUUACUGCAGGAAAUCAUGCUUCAAUACAAUUAUGUCAGCAAGCUAACCAUCAAUGUGCUUGAGGAAGCAUUUAAGUUGCAAGAGCAUCUCUUGGCACUGCGGCGGUAUCAUUUUAUGGAGACAGCAGAUUGGGCAGAUUUGUUUAUCUUGUCUCUUUGGCAUCAUAAGCGGUCUGUUACAGAAGCAACUGAGAGACUUUCAGAAAUUCAAGGUCUACUUGAUUUGUCAAUUCAGAAGUCUUCUUGUGAACAAGACACCAAUAAGGAUAGGUUGUUUGUGUACAUGAAAGGACAUGGGAAAUUGCCUCUUUCUGCAUCUGCUAUUGGGGUCCGUUCUUUUGAUUUCUUAGGACUGGGUUACCGUGUGGAUUGGCCACUCAGUAUUGUUUUGACACCUGCUGCAUUAAAAAUAUAUGCUGAUAUAUUCAGCUUUUUGAUACAAGUGAAGCUUGCCAUUUUUUCAUUGACUGAUGUAUGGCGCUCACUAAAGGAUUUGGUGCAUACAACCAAUAAGGAUCUAAAUUCUGAACUACACCAGCGUGAGGCAGGGGAUCUUAAUACUUUGAUGAAGAUGAGGCACCAGAUCAGCCAUUUUGUAUCCACUUUGCAGCAGUAUGUAGAGUCACAAUUAUCUCAUGUGUCAUGGUGCAGAUUUCUUCAUUCCCUUCAACAUAAGGUGAAAGACAUGAUGGAUCUUGAGUCUGUGCAUAUGGAAUAUCUUGCUGAUUCGUUAUGCAUGUGUAGCAGCGAUCUGGCAUAGGUGCUGUUUCAGGACAAAAUGGCUCGCGUUUUGGGGAUAGAGAAGGGCGUCUUAUUGGUCUGAGGAAAGCUCGUCACUUUUGAGGCUGUUCUUGGUGGUUGGGUUCCAUUUUGGAGAUUUGGUGAUAAUACCCCUUUAAGUUCAGACUUCAGAGGUUGGUGCUUGGGAUACUGGAAGUGAUCAGGAAAAAUUGUUGGGCAAACUUUCUACAAUCAAUAUAUCCCAGGUAAGCCAUGCGAUACACUUAUGCUUUAGAAAAUAAAAUUUAAUGAAAAUACUCUCCGUAGCUUGUUCUUUGAUAUAUUAAAAGGAUUCUGGACAUUUUGGCAUCUUAUAUAUAUAGAGAUUGCGAGUGAUUAUUCUUAACUGGCUUUGUGUUCAUUGGAAUGUCUACAUAUGGUGUAUGGCAAUAUACAUGCUUCCCUGUAUUCUAGGGGGUCUUCUCAAUGUUCUCAUUAGUCGUAGGGUCUGAUGCCCUCAAAAUAACCUAAGCUUUGCCGAAAGGCCUCUUAAAAGCAUCCACGCAUUAGAUAAGAACAUAAGAGGAAAUGGAACAUCCUAUCUGGAACAUGUUAGGUAUGUCUUCAAAUAAUUGGUCCUAAACUCAUAGUAAAAAGUAUAUUGACCUGCUGUUUGUAUUUAUUUGCAGGUGCUUUCCAUAAAACAAAAGUUUGAUAGAAGUCUAAAAGAAUUGCACAUUUGCUAUAUUAAGGAACCAAAACACUGGAAUUUUGGGCUUUCUCGGUUUUGGGAAUAUCUCAACUACAAUGAAUAUUAUUCC